GACGAACGCGGGCGGCGUGCCUAAUACAUGCAAGUAGGACGCACAGUUUAUACCGUAGCUUGCUACACCAUAGACUGUGAGUUGCGAACGGGUGAGUAACGCGUAGGUAACCUGCCUAUUAGAGGGGGAUAACUAUUGGAAACGAUAGCUAAUACCGCAUAACAGUAUGUAACACAUGUUAGAUGCUUGAAAGAUGCAAUUGCAUCGCUAGUAGAUGGACCUGCGUUGUAUUAGCUAGUAGGUAGGGUAAUGGCCUACCUAGGCGACGAUACAUAGCCGACCUGAGAGGGUGAUCGGCCACACUGGGACUGAGACACGGCCCAGACUCCUACGGGAGGCAGCAGUAGGGAAUCUUCGGCAAUGGGGGGAACCCUGACCGAGCAACGCCGCGUGAGUGAAGAAGGUUUUCGGAUCGUAAAGCUCUGUUGUUAAGGAAGAACGAGUGUGAAAAUGGAAAGUUCAUACUGUGACGGACUAACCAGAAAGGACGCAU
rnacentral:rRNA from 1 species